rnacentral:lncRNA from 12 species
CCCCUGGAUGGUCAAAGCAGGCAGGGCAUGGGGGGCAGGGGAUCCCCUCCCCUGAGGCCCGUGCUGAGCCUGCCAGGGAACAGAGCCACCUCAGUUCCACUGUGGCCCUAAGGGUACCCCCAGGCAGUGACCCCCACAGGUGGAGUGCAAAGCCACCUUGCCCCACCCUGGGGCCCGGCCCCCAGCAGCAGACCUGGUCUCAGCCCUGCCCUUUGGGGAAGAGAACGGGAGCAGCUCACUGCCCCAUCCUCCAAAGCAGCUCCCAACACCCGGCCCAUCGCCCCGUUUCAUUUUCUCCCUAAUUCAAAGUCCUGAUGGUCUUGGGAUGCAGACCCCACAGGCUGCCAUGUGUCUGCCCUGGGCGUCACGCUGGCACAUGGUGAAGGCUCGUGCAUUUGCUGCAAGAGGGCACAGAGGUAGCCUUCCUCAUGGGAGAAGGGAGCAGUAAGCAAGAAGCAGGCACUGGGUCAGGGCCAGUGGCACUGGGCCCAGCCCCCCUGGUCAGCCCCACAGGACCCCCGGCUGGAGACCCACCAGGUCUUGGGUAUGCGGGAGAGGCAGAUGGGGUUGUAAGCAAGGGCCCUUUCCUCUCUGCUCUGAGGGGCAGCCCAGGCAGGAGCAGGGCCACGUGCCCAGGACGACUGGGCUCUGCCCCAGAGCAGGGGUUAAGAGAGACACACGCAAGCUGAAUUGAGGGGCUCAGAUGGGACCCUAGGUUGGACCCUAAUGACCCCAUGGUGAAGGCACCAGGCCCAGCCCAGCCCUUCCACCUCCCUGUUACCUGUUCCUGCAGGAAGAGGUGGAGUCAUGAGACAGUACUGUGUUCUGUCAGUACAGUAGCUGAGACCUUGGAACUCACCCUCUGGAUUCCCAGUGCCUAGACCAUGGCCCCAUCAGGGUCCUACACGUUUAUGGACUCACUGAUUGGAUGGGUGGAUGGAUGGAUGGUUGGAUGGAAGGAUAGAUGGGUGGAUGGACAGAUAGAUGGAUGAUGGAGGGAGGGAAAAAGGAAUGGUGGAUGGAUGGAUGGAUGGACAGAUGGGUGGAUGAAGGGAUGGAUGGAUGAUGGAGGGAGGGAAGAAGGAAUGGUGGGGGAAUGAGUAGACAGGUAUUUGAGUGGGUAGGUGGGUGGCGGUGGUGGUGGAGGGAAUGAUGAUGGAUGGCUAUCGUGCAGCUCUAUGAAGCACCUAGGUUCAACCUGGAGCAGUGGGAGAGGUUGGGAGCUACUUUGUGGAGGCCAGAGUGUUGGGAGGGCCUUGACUAAGACCAGGAGGGGCUCCCUCAUGCCCCCAGCUGCCUGGCCCCUGCUGCCAAUACUCAUAACUCACUCCCAUCUUGUUCCCACUCUGGUCCUGCUCUCAGCUGACCCCCUGCCCCCACGUCCCUGAGGAAGCAGAUGUGUGAGCUCCAAGAUGCGGUAGAGACUGGCAAGGACCAACUGGGGCACCCAAGGAGGACCAGAGGCUCAGAGCCAGCUUUGUGAGGAAGGGGCCCCUGGCCAGUGGAGCUGGUGGAGAGGAGGGGCCACAGAGAUGAGGGGGGGUGGGAGUGGUCAGCAGAGCCACAACCCAGCUGUCUCAGCUCCACCCUGGCCUCACUAAGACAUCUGGAAUCUUCUGGAAGCUCCAGCCCUGAGGGAUGGGCCAGCCAGCUGGGAGCCCACUGACUGGACUGUUCCCUGGGCCAAGG